rnacentral:tRNA from 1 species
UAGCUCAGUCAGUUGAGCGUGGCGCUAACCACGCCAAGGUCAUGGGUUCGAUUCCCGU